AUGAACGCUGGCGGCGUGCCUCAUCCAUGCAAGUCGAGCGAACAGACGAGGAGCUUGCUCCUCUGAUGUUAGCGGCGGACGGGUGAGUAACACGUGGAUAACCUACCUAUAAGACUGGGAUAACUUCGGGAAACCGGAGCUAAUACCGGAUAACAUGUUGAACCGCAUGGUUCAACAGUGAAAGACGGUCUUGCUGUCACUUAUAGAUGGAUCCGCGCCGCAUUAGCUAGUUGGUAAGGUAACGGCUUACCAAGGCAACGAUGCGUAGCCGACCUGAGAGGGUGAUCGGCCACACUGGAACUGAGACACGGUCCAGACUCCUACGGGAGGCAGCAGUAGGGAAUCUUCCGCAAUGGGCGAAAGCCUGACGGAGCAACGCCGCGUGAGUGAAGAAGGUCUUCGGAUCGUAAAACUCUGUUAUUAGGGAAGAACAAAUGUGUAAGUAACUAUGCACGUCUUGACGGUACCUAAUCAGAAAGCCACGGCUAACUACGUG
rnacentral:rRNA from 1 species